AGAGAGGGUUGACGGAUGCGGCGAGCGACCAGUGUGAGCCCGGAGUAGGAUGUACGCUGGCCUGGAAGCGCUAGACCUGUGAGGUGUGCGGCUGGCUGUUGGAGUGAAGCUUUGGAAGACAUGGCUCCCAACGUGUUGGCUUCCGAACCGGAGAUUCCGAAGGGCAUCCGGGCCGUGUUGCUGGGGCCGCCCGGGGCUGGCAAGGGGACGCAGGCACCCAAACUGGCUGAAAACUUUUGUGUCUGUCAUUUGGCCACCGGGGACAUGCUGAGAGCCAUGGUAGCUUCUGGCUCAGAGCUAGGAAAAAAGCUGAAGGCGACAAUGGAUGCAGGGAAACUGGUGAGUGACGAAAUGGUUGUGGAGCUAAUUGAGAAGAAUUUGGAGACUCCUUCGUGCAAAAAUGGCUUUCUUCUAGAUGGCUUCCCUCGGACUGUGAGGCAGGCUGAAAUGCUUGAUGACCUCAUGGAGAAGAGGAAAGAGAAGCUCGAUUCAGUCAUUGAGUUCAGCAUCCAAGACUCGCUGCUGAUCCGGAGGAUCACUGGGAGGCUGAUUCACCCCAAGAGUGGCCGGUCCUACCAUGAGGAAUUCAACCCUCCAAAGGAGCCCAUGAAAGAUGAUAUCACUGGGGAGCCCCUGAUCCGCAGGUCAGAUGACAACGAGAAAGCCUUGAAGACCCGCCUGGAGGCCUACCACACUCAGACCACUCCGCUCGUGGAGUACUACAGGAAACGCGGCAUUCACUGCGCCAUCGAUGCGUCCCAGACCCCUGACAUCGUGUUUGCGAGCAUCCUGGCAGCCUUCUCCAAAGCCACAUGUAAAGACCUGGUCAUGUUUAUCUAAUGUUGGGUCUAAAGGCUCUCUCUCCUUCCAGUCUGUGAAAGGAGUGGGUGGUGAUGGUUAGGAAGGUGGAGGGAACUUCCUUUCUCAGAAAGCAAGGUUAUCUUCUAAUGUACUGAUUAAAAAGCACUUACUUGAUGUGUCUCAUAUGUGCAGCACUCAUCUAUGUGUGUGUGUGGGUGGGUGGGUGGUGUGAGUGUGUGCUCACUCUUACAUUCUGAAUCUUGUUUUACCUGCUGUUUACUUUUCUUUUUAUUGUUUUAAAAUAAUUAGCACACAGGGCAUUAGAUAUCAGAUAUAUAUAUCAUUAUGACUUUUUUUUUUCUUGAGCUGGUUUCUGUGUACCUCCAUCUGUCCUGGAACUUGCUAUAUCAGACUGGUUUCGAACUCCUAAGAUCUGCCUGUCUCUGCCGCCUGAGUGCGCCUCUAUGUCCAGCUUCAUUAUAACAUUUUUUAAACAAGAUGUGUUUUAGUAGAUUUUCUUCCCUGUGCAGCCUGUGCUGUUAGCUACACACACACACACACACACACACUCACUCUCUCUCUCUCUCUCUCUCUCUCUCUCUCUCUCUCUCUCUCUCUCUUAGCCACACUCUUAUCUGCCAGGCACCCCAGUUCCAAAUCCUCAUAGUACUUACCACAAGCAGCUGACUCCCACGUCUGGGGUCACAUGUGUAAGUCAGGCAGUGUCAUGGUUCCUGAUAUACAUUCUUGACAGGAAACAAAAAACCUCAAGUCAGUGGGUGCAUAGGAUCAUUAAUUUUUUCCCCUUAAAUGGAAUUUAAAAGACAUUACGCAUUCCAGACACUGGCUGCUAGGACAGGACAUCCACAUGGAAGAGUGAUGAGGUUGGACUGUUUCUGUGUUCCACAUCACGGUGCUGUAAAGUUCAGACAACAUGGGACUUCCCUUUGCACAGUGAGCUGUUGUCAAAGAAUUGUGCCAGGUAGAAGGUCCUUUGGGGUGCAGGUUGUCUCUGAACGUCGAGCUAGGUAACAGAGAAGGGCCACGACUGUUUCCCCAGAUAGACCCACUUAGGGAGGUUUGUUUUGUUUGCCUGUUUCCAGGGGUGAGCCAAACAGUGACUGGGGAUAAUCUCUUUGGAUUCAUUCCCAUCAGAAAUUUAUUUAAACACGAGGUAUAAAACCCAAAUCAGAUGUAUCCCUUUCAAAUUUAACCCUUUACCCCAUAUUUUAUGAUGGCUAGCGAUACCCCAAAACAAGACCACCUAUGACCAUUACAAGUUUCUGUUUGUAACCUUAGCUCCCAUAAUUAUGAGUGUCCUAUGGUCUGUGCUCUGUGCCUUUUGGUCUCUGGUUGCUUUGUAACAGAUAAAUUAGUGGGCUGCUGUGACGAGACCUCAAAGCCUUCAGCCUCUGGAAAAGCCAUUAGAAAGUCAGUGAUGUGGCCAGUAAAUAAUGCCGCCUGCCGCAGCAUAACCUCCUACUGACUCUAAAGUGCUUGGUCCCCAUCUGGCUGAGCUCUCCUACUGUCUGAAUCUGUCAGAGGGCUUGUCUCCACAUGGAAGCUCCUGGCCUAGUAACAGAAGGCCAGGCGAGACCGCACCCCUGCUCAUCUCCCCGCCGUGGGAUCCCUGCUCUUAGGUGCUGGGCAGAGGGAAGAGGGUGGUCAUGGGAAGGAAGGAUGGAUGGAUGGUGAGGGAGGUGGGGAGGGGCUCCUCGAGAGAAGAUUGGAACAGUGGCAGUGUUAUAAUUAGUAAGGUUUUUUUUUUUUACACAUAGAUGAGAAUUUUUAAAGUAUAAGCAAGGGAAAAGAUUAAUUUAAAAAAAAAAAAAAACUGUGAUUGGAGUGCAUUGGUGCAGAUAAGGAGACAUGGUAUUAUUUUUAAGCAGUCAGCCUCUGCUUUUCUCUGGACCACAAAGCUAAUGCUCUCUAAGAGACCUCAGCUUCUACAUAAGAACCUCAUGGAUCCCCAGGCCCAGAGCACAGCAGUCAGGCUGGGCCUGUGCAUCCCGUGCAGAGGAGGGGGCUGCUGACUGCCGGGGGCUCCCCACUCCAUAAAGCGAGAAGACUGACCUGCGCGGAUGGAAGAGACGGGGUGUGAGGUUAUGGGUGCCGCUCAGCAGACCAUCUCUCCUGGAAUUGUGGGGAGCAAGGGGAAACAGAUCCCACACUUAAGACUUCAGAGUUGCUUGCUCUAGUGACAAAGCCUUCAGCCACUCAGCACUCCCUAGUCUUAAAACCUUGCCUUCAUUCAUCCACGGGACCCUUUUAGAUAACUGAACAAGGCCUAGGAGUGUAGCUCAGUGGCGUGUGUGUGCCUGGCUCUGUAAAGCCCCGGCUUCAGUCCUCUACAGGGAAGGGUUGGGGGAAAAGCUAAAAUGUCUUAAGCUAAGUCAUCCAAGGAUUGUCCCCCUCACCUCCUGGGACUGGGAUUGCCCGACAACACUGUGAUGUAUUUCUCAAUGAGGUGCCUUUCAUAACUGACCAAAUGCUGCCAUGUUUGGCCCCUGAGUCAAUAAAAUAUGUUGAAAAUUUGUA